rnacentral:rRNA from 1 species
GAUGAACGCUGGCGGCGUGCCUAACACAUGCAAGUCGAACGGAGUUUUUAGAGGAAGCCUUUCGGGGUGGAACCUUUGAACUUAGUGGCGGACGGGUGAGUAACGCGUGAGCAACCUGCCUUAAAGUGGGGGACAACAUUUGGAAACGAAUGCUAAUACCGCAUAAGACCACGGAGUCGCAUGGCUCUGAGGCCAAAGGAGCAAUCCGCUUUAAGAUGGGCUCGCGUCCGAUUAGGUAGUUGGUGGGGUAAUGGCUCACCAAGCCAACGAUCGGUAGCCGGACUGAGAGGUUGAUCGGCCACAUUGGGACUGAGACACGGCCCAGACUCCUACGGGAGGCAGCAGUGGGGAAUAUUGGGCAAUGGGCGAAAGCCUGACCCAGCGACGCCGCGUGGAGGAAGAAGGUUUUCGGAUUGUAAACUCCUGUCUUCGGGGAAGAUAAUGACGGUACCCGAGGAGGAAGCCACGGCUAACUACGUGCCAGCAGCCGCGGUAAAAC